ensembl:lncRNA
UGGCCAUGCUCGUGGUUCUGGCCAGGAGCGUGUGUGUGUGUGUGUGUGUGUGUGUGUGUGAAUCAGGGAGAGAGAGACUGAAUAGGGAACACUUUGCUGCUAAUGAUUUUAUCUUAGACUAAAUUCUUACAAGGCCUCAGCUUCCACAGUUCUACAGGGUCAGAUGAGGUUUGAGCUGUGGUCCCAUGUUUCUUUCUAAAAUCUUAAGCAGAUGCUGAAUCAGUAAAGCCAAGGAGCCCUGAGAUCUGGCUUGGGGUGGGGUCCUGCCUCCCUCUCACAGCCCCAGGCAGGUGCUCCAAGUCUCAUCUGGGCUCCCAGGAAUCCAGAUGAAGAGGCCCUGGGAUGGAAAGUGUGGGCGGGCCAGCCCAGCAGUGAGCCAGGGAGAAUUUCCAGUACUGUGGUCUGGUGGCUUCUGGAAAGGGGCCAUGGCCCAGAAGCGGGACCCUAACAGAGAGAGAGAAGUCAGGGAUGAGAAUCCCCCAUGGACACAUCUCUCUCCCGCAUCCCAGGGUGGGGCCAGCCAGGACACGCCCACCCAGCAGCCUCUAGACCAGGUGGGCUGGAGCAGGUGGGUGUUCUCUUAAUGCCCGGGAUCUGCCCUUUCCCAGGCUUGGUUACUUCUGUAAAACAGAAGGGGUGGAUAAGAGGGCCUCUCUAGCUGCAGAAGCCUGAACUUCUGGGGUCAGUGUGGCUUUGAGGAGCAUGUUAGCAGCCAUCCCUGCGGGUGGCAUGGGAGGCUGGGAGGUGGCUGCUUGGCUGUGCUUUACACACUGGCCCGUAGUGGAGGAGGCAGGGUGGAGGGCUAUUUUCCCAGCUCUGAUCUCCACAGGCACCCCCUGUCACCCUCCCUCCACAGUCUGACAGAGUCUGAAGGAAGCUUUGACAGGCAGCAUUGCCAGGGUGGAGGGCCUGGCACCCGCUCUCCAGCCUGUUCCAGGAUGUUCCAAGGGGCCAUCAGGGUCCCUUUUUGGCCAUCUGGUGAUGGCUGGAACCAGAAUCUUGAGCUGGCACAGAGGCCACAUCAAAGGCUUCUCCUCCUUGGCACCCAAGCCAAAGCAAGUACCACCUCUGGGCAUUGACCCCAGGGCUUGCCCCAGCCGGUCCGUGAGCAUCCUGGCCUUUAAAAGUCUGGUCUCCUGGGAGGAAGGCAGGUUUGGGGGUUGUAGUCCCAACCAAUGUCCCCAGCCUGGCUUUCCUGCCAUGCACCAGGGGGCUUAUGGAGAUAGUGGGAUUCUCACCACCCACCAGCCCCCCUGGGCAAUGGGUUGGCUGUGGGCAGUCAAGGGCCUGCUGGGUUUGAGAGAGGGUUCCUUUUUAUCAGGGCUGCUGAAGGGGCCAAGCCUGCAUCGGGCUUGGGCCCCUGAGGCUGAGACCAUGGCUCUUCAUUACCCCAGUGCCUGUGUGAACGUUGCCUCAGACAAAGGCAGUGAGCCUUCCCUGCCAAAGGUGCCUGUCCACUACAGGCUCAGCAUCCCGGCUCGCUCCUAGUCUGAGCUGUGUGGGCCUGUGUGGUAGCUUGAGGGCAGCCUGGAGUCAGCGUUCAAGCUCCAGCUUUGCCAUUAAACCUCUGUGUGACUUAAGGCAUAUGACUGCCUUCUUGGGGCCUCUGUUCCUUUUUCUACCAAGGCCCCACAGCUGCUGUCUGAGGACUUUGGGGCUCUGAUACAUCAUUCUAGUCUCCUGAUGGGAACGCUAGUGGGUAGAAGUUGACGGUGGUCUGCCAUGUCCCUCCUCCGUGCCCCACCCUCAGAAGCGUGCUGCUUCCUCAGUGCCCAGGACGGGAGCUCUUGGUGGAUGAGGCCAGGCCAGCCCCCCAGGUGCCAUUUCUAAUCGGAUUCCCAGAAAUUGUGUACCAGGGCCUGGAGCACAGAACCAACUGGCUGAAGCCUCCUGGGAGGGUUCAAACUGUCCAGCUUUAUAAGAAAAGCCUGGAAAGGAUUUGCUGGCUCCAACAAUCUGCCACGGCUGCUGUGACUACGUCUGCAGACUGCCUGCCUCAGGGUGCGAUGGACGUUCCUCCGCUUAUUCAAGCCUGAGAGGCAGCCCCACACAGCCGAGUACCUUGAGAACCGCAGAUUAAGUGCCACUGCAGGAAUGCAGGGCCCUCGCGCGCUGUUGACGUCUCUCUCAUCUCUGUGGUGUGUUUGCGCGUGUGCGCGUGUGUGUGUGUGGGGGGGGACUUUUGUCCGCGGGCACAUUAGCAUGCCUCUCCGGGAACGUGACCCCACCUGUGUGUGCAUGUGUGCCCUCCUCGCGUCCAGGCUGGGCCAUCUGGAGGUUGGUGUGCCUGGUUUUGCCCUCUCUGAGUCCACAGGGUCAGUCGGUGUAUCUUCUAUGUGCCUCUCCCUCGGCCUUCCCUCGCAGUGCCCUGGGCUCCAGAGGGACCCUCCCCACUCCUGGAAGAUCCAGGACCCUCUGGUCCCUUUUCCCCAGCAACCAGGCAGCUGAGCCAGGUCCCUUAGCAGGCCCUCUGAGGAGAGGUGACCAAGAGCCUGGGUGCAGGGAGCAGCUCUCCUGUGGGCCAGGGGCUGGACCACUUGCCUGGGCCAUGGACAUGGUUCUAUGCUCGGGGCUGCAGGGAUGGCCCCAAUCCCACCUCUGUUUAUUCUGUAAACUACAACCUGUAAAUAACAUUUAGCAUUCCUAUUGUAACAAAAUUAAUUUUUAUGAAAUAAAUUAUAUUUCCUAGUCUAAUAAAAAAUUCAGGUUGU